rnacentral:lncRNA from 1 species
CGAAGGCGAAAGUCUUUAACUGUCACCUGAAAAAAAUUACAACUGAGACUGUCAGUCUCGAGAGUGAGUCAAAAUCAAAUAAUCUAAGGGCUUUUGCAACCUUCACAUGAUAUAUUAAUUAUUCAAAACAAUAUACCAAUUUCUGAAUAUAAUUGCAGUCAUAAUAUAAAAUCAUACACCAUAAUAAUAAAAUGAUAAAAGGAGAGUGUAAAUAAAUAAAGACAUUUUUACUUUCACGGGACGUGUGGCUAAGUAGAACCCUAACCCCAAAUUCUAACAGCCACUUUAGCUCUCUUAAUCCAAUAAGACUGGCGCCCCGAGAGCAAUGCUCGACCAGGGACCUUACCUCCAGUCUGGUCACUUAAAUAUCCAAAUAAGAAAUCUAGUAGCCAUUCGGCUCUCUUAAUCCAAUAAGACUGGCGCCCCGAGAGCAAUGUUCGACCAGGGACCUUACCUCCAGUCUGGUCACUUAAAUAUCCAAAUAAGCCGGCGCCCCGAGAGCAAUGCUCGACCAGGGACCUUACCUCCGGCAAUUUACACAAAUCAGCCCAGAGAGCCAUGCUCGACCAGGGCAAACCCAUAAAUAUCUUAUUACAUGUCCAUGAUCAUUACCGGUGCGCACGCGGUCCUGAUGUAACCCAUCAGGCGGCAUGUUCUACAAGCCACAUUUCCCAAUUCGCAAUCAUCACAUAUAAUAAAUAUCAUUAUCUGAUGAACUCAACCAACACAUAUCGAAAUAAAGAUUAAAGAUUUAAGGUAAAACAACGUGCAAUUUGCGAGGGGAAAAAUAAUAACGCUUAUCUUAUUAUAAGAUACUAAUAAUAAUAUUUAUAUUAUUUCAAAUAUUAAUAAUCAAGUGAAAUCAUUUACCUUGCGAUACUAAUAAUCAUAUUAAGCACAAAUUCUAAAUAGCAUAUUAAAAUCAGACUAGCAAUAGCGCAAAGAUUAAAUGACUUUAACUCACAGAUUUGAUGCGUUCCACAGUCCGCUCCUACGCCUCGGGUGGAGCUGGCGGGAAGGCUGAAUUAUCUAAUAACAAAAGACAUACAAUUAAUAGACAUUCGAAAAUUUUUCCUAAACUUAGACCCUAAGGUCGACUGCCUAGAAUUAAAUUGGACUCGAGGAUUCUGCCGAAAAUUUGACAAAACCUCCCCUAAAUUACGGAUAUUUACCCCCCGUAAAACGGGUCCAGGACCUGCCAAAAACAUAUCAGACAUGCUGGAAUUUAAUAACAGGAGCCGGGCCACAAGAACUGCAUUAAUAUUUUCCCGACUCCAAAACACCACAAUCCAAACAAUUCAAUUUGAUUUAUUUUUAAACUACCCAACACAAGCAAUUAAUAGCCUCAAUAACUUUCUAAUAUUAUAACAAAAUUUUUCAGAGUCUAAUAAAAUUAUACCGAGUUGAAAAUUAAAAUAUUUCGCACGUCCAGAAAACACUGGGGUCCGGAAGCCGGUCCCGCCAACAGUGUCGGAAUUCAAAUCCGGAAGCGCCUACGCGAAGCUCAAGUUGCGGAGAGUCCGGAAGGACAAGAGUUUUGGCCGGAAAGUGGCCGGAAGGCGGCGGAUCGGGGCCGGAAAGUCGCUGCUCACGCGACACCUUUCAAGGCUGCCGGCAAGGAUUUCCGACGGAGGAGGGUUGCUUCAAGGGUUUUCGGGGGUGGGGAGUCCGAUUCCGGCGCCAGAUCGCCGAAAACAAGCCGGCAAGAGGCCGAACGGCGAAGACAACUCCCUACCUUCGGCUAACGUCGGCGGAAAGGAGGAAAGGGGAAGGAGAGCUGCUGCAGAGCGGCGGGAAGGGAGGAAGG